rnacentral:rRNA from 1 species
GACGAACGCUGGCGGCGUGCUUAACACAUGCAAGUCGAGCGGUAAGGCCCUUUCGGGGGUACACGAGCGGCGAACGGGUGAGUAACACGUGGGUGACCUGCCCUCAGCUCUGGGAUAAGCCUGGGAAACUGGGUCUAAUACCGGAUAUGACUCCAUGACGCAUGUUGUGGGGUGGAAAGCCUUGUGCGGCUGAGGAUGGGCCCGCGGCCUAUCAGCUUGUUGGUGGGGUGA